rnacentral:rRNA from 1 species
GAUGAACGCUGGCGGCGUGCCUAAUACAUGCCAGUCGAGCGAACAGACGAGGAGCUUGCUCCUCUGACGUUAGCGGCGGACGGGUGAGUAACACGUGGAUAACCUACCUAUAAGACUGGGAUAACUUCGGGAAACCGGAGCUAAUACCGGAUAAUAUAUUGAACCGCAUGGUUCAAUAGUGAAAGACGGUUUUGCUGUCACUUAUAGAUGGAUCCGCGCCGCAUUAGCUAGUUGGUAAGGUAACGGCUUACCAAGGCAACGAUGCGUAGCCGACCUGAGAGGGUGAUCGGCCACACUGGAACUGAGACACGGUCAGACUCCUACGGGAGGCAGCAGUAGGGAAUCUUCCGCAAUGGGCGAAAGCCUGACGGAGCAACGCCGCGUGAGUGAUGAAGGUCUUCGGAUCGUAAAACUCUGUUAUUAGGGAAGAACAAAUGUGUAAGUAACUAUGCACGUCUUGACGGUACCUAAUCAGAAAGCCACGGCUAACUACGUG